rnacentral:rRNA from 1 species
UUCAGUACGGCGAGUGAAGCGGCAAGCUCAAAUUUGAAAUCUGGGGGUCCGAGUUGUAAUUUGCAGAGAGUGUUUCGGGCGAGGCCGCGGUCUAAGUCCAUUGGAACAUGGUGUCAUAGAGGGUGAGAAUCCCGUAUGCGACCGUGGUCCGAGCCCAUGUGAAGCCUCUUCGACGAGUCGAGUUGUUUGGGAAUGCAGCUCUAAAUGGGUGGUAAAUUUCAUCUAAAGCUAAAUACUGGCUGGAGACCGAUAGCGCACAAGUAGAGUGAUCGAAAGAUGAAAAGCACUUUGAAAAGAGAGUUAAACAGUACGUGAAAUUGUUGAAAGGGAAGCGCUUGCGACCAGACCUGCCCGUAGGUGAUCAGCCUCUGUUCUCAGGGGUGCACUCGCUCUACGAUCAGGCCAGCAUCGGUUUGGGCGGUCGGAUAAAGGCCUUGGGAAUGUAGCUUCCUUUCGGGGGAGUCUUAUAGCCCUCGGUGCAAUGCGGCCAGCCGGGACCGAGGACCGCGCUUCGGCUAGGAUGCUGGCGUAAUGGUUGCAAGCGACCCGUCUUGAAACACGGACCAAGGAGUCUAACAUCUAUGCGAGUGUUUGGGUGUCAAACCCAUACGCGGAAUGAAAGUGAACGGAGGUGAGAACCCUUAAGGGUGCAUCAUCGACCGAUUCAGAUGUCUUCGGAUGGAUUUGAGUAUGAGCAUAGCUGUUGGGACCCGAAAGAUGGUGAACUAUGCCUGAAUAGGG